GAUGAACGCUAGCGGCAGGCCUAAUACAUGCAAGUCGAACGGUAAGUAGAAUAGCAAUAUUUUACCAAGAGUGACGCACGGGUGCGUAACACGUAUGCAACCUACCCUUUACAGGCGGAUAGCUCGGGGAAACUCGAAUUAACCCGCCAUAAUAUAAUUGAAUGGCAUCAUUUGAUUAUUAAAUCUGCGGAGGUAAAGGAUGGGCAUGCGUCUGAUUAGUUAGUUGGUAGUGUAACGGACUACCAAGACGAUGAUCAGUAGGGGAACUGAGAGGUUGAUCCCCCACACUGGCACUGAGAUACGGGCCAGACUCCUACGGGAGGCAG
rnacentral:rRNA from 1 species